rnacentral:lncRNA from 1 species
GCAAAUCAAAAGAGUUUUUCGCUCCACAUUUAAGCUCUCCCACGUUUUUGUCUCCAAGCUUCCAAGUGUUCAAGUGUCUUAGCUUUCCAAAACUUCAAAAGCUUUUCAACUUCUUCUUCUAAUCUUCUUGUUCAUCUCUACAAGUAAGAAGUGUUGUUUGCUUUAAUAUUCCACUCCUCUAAUCACCUCUUGUGUGUGUCCACUUUGGUUGAGAGGGUUGUCUCAAUAUCACCAAAGUGUGAGAGAAGGUUUUGGAGCUCAACUAUAAAGCUCUAGUUUGGUUUUAUAGAGUUUCCGGGAAAACUCUUAGGUCGAAUCUACCUUUAAAGAUUUUUAGGUUUUUAAGAGUUCCUUGAUAUAUACUCUAAGGUACUAACUUACUCGUAAAAGUUAAAGAUUCUUAAGAGUGUCUUUGAUACUCUAAGGUGUGAGUCUACCCGUAAAAGACUGGUUUCUAAGCGAAGUAUCCUUAAAGCUUAGAGAGGUUUUUAAGAGUUCCUUGAUACUCUAAGGUACUAACUUACCCGUAAAAGUUAGAGGUUCUUAAGAGUGCCCUUGAUACUCUAAGGUGUGAGUCUACCCGUAAAAGACUGAUUCUUAAGCGAAGUAGCCUUAAAGCUUAGAGAAGUUCUUAAGAGUUUCCUUGAUAUUCUAAGGUUUUGCCAUAACCUUUAGGCUAGUGAAUUCCGACAGUUGGUCGGGACUGGAUUAGCCCUUAUUUGGGUGAACCAGUAUAAAUCUCUUGUGUUUUUCUUUGUUAACUUUAGUUUUAUAUCUCUUAUAAAAACAACUAAACAACACUUAAUUGAAAAUGAUUCCUCUUCCAGUUAUCUGGUCAAAUAUAGAGGAUGACUAUUUUAAGCAGAUCUCUCAUCCAGUUAUCUGGUCAACUAUCUGAGGUUAUAUUAUUUGCCUUAAUUUCUUUCAAGCAUUUACUUAUCAAAUAUAUACAUCCAGUUAUCUAGAC